AUUUAAAUAGUUUAUAUAAAAUAUUGAUUUGUGGUAUCAAAGAAAAUUGAAUUAGUUUUUAAAUU
rnacentral:tRNA from 1 species